rnacentral:tRNA from 1 species
ACAUUGGUGGUUCAGUGGUAGAAUUUUCGCCUUCUAUGCAGGAGACCUGGGUUUGAUUCCCAGCCAAUGCA